GUUUCCCGUAGGUGAACCUGCUGCUGGAUCAUUA
rnacentral:rRNA from 1 species